rnacentral:rRNA from 1 species
GGGAGGUAGUGACAAUAAAUAACAAUACGGGGCCCAUUAGGGUCUCGUAAUUGGAAUGAGUACAAUUUAAAUCCCUUAACGAGGAACAAUUGGAGGGCAAGUCUGGUGCCAGCAGCCGCGGUAAUUCCAGCUCCAAUAGCGUAUAUUAAAGUUGUUGCAGUUAAAAAGCUCGUAGUUGAACUUCGGGGUUUACCCAUUGGUCAGGCUUAAUUGACUGUACUGGUGAGAUAAAUCUCUACCUUCUGAGGAACUCUCAUGCCAUUUAUUUGGUGUGGUUGGAAAUCAGGACUGUUACUUUGAAAAAAUUAGAGUGUUUAAAGCAGGCUAACGUCUGAAUACAUUAGCAUGGAAUAAUGAAAUAGGACGGACUGAUUCUAUUUCGUUGGUUUCUAGGAUCACCGUAAUGAUUAAUAGGGAUAGUUGGG